UAUAAAUUUAUAUAAAUAUACUCUUAUUUACUUUUAUAUAUAGAGAUACAUAUGUAAAAGGUGCUCUAUAGAUGUCAAGACUUUCGAGGACAUUUUUGAUAUGAAAUAAAAGCCCCGCCAUUGUCCAUUCAGUAGUGGCCAUCAAGUUCACACAUAUCUGUAUAUAUACCAUGUAUCGCUGCGAUCUCCGAUACCGAAGCACUCAUGCAAGAGAAUGAAUGUAUGGUUAUUGUAUAUGUCUGGCAAGUGGCAAGCAGGAUGCAUAAAUUACUGUUAUCACAGCUGUCAAACAAUUCCAACAAUAUAUGCAAUAAUAUAAAGCAAAAACAAUUCAAACAAUUAACAAAUGAGCUAGCGAACAAUCAAUGGAUUUGCUUUGGAAAGAAAGCAAAAAUGCAAACAAAGCAAAAUAAGUGUAGGCGACAUUUUGGGGAGAGGAGUAGGAAGGAGUGGGGGCGAUGAGUUGAGAGCAGUCAUUAGUUAGUCACUAACUGUCGAUUGCCAAUUGCCAAUUGUCUACAAUGAAAGCUAAUUAAAACGACAAAACGACGGUUAUAGUAAGAGUUAGCGAAUUGUUAGCUACAAUGGAGUCUACGCAGACCGAGAUGACAAAUUAAAGUUGUUUCAUGGUAACAUCGAUAUUAUUUCCAUUAUUGUUAAAGUGACAUCAGCUCGCCGAUGAUUUUUGCAAAACAAUCAUAUUUAAAAAUAAAUGAAUUUCUCAAUGAGCCAUA